AGUGAACGCUGGCGGUAGGCCUAACACAUGCAAGUCGAACGGCAGCACAGUAAGAGCUUGCUCUUACGGGUGGCGAGUGGCGGACGGGUGAGGAAUACAUCGGAAUCUACUUUUUCGUGGGGGAUAACGUAGGGAAACUUACGCUAAUACCGCAUACGACCUACGGGUGAAAGCAGGGGAUCUUCGGACCUUGCGCGUUUGAAUGAGCCGAUGUCGGAUUAGUUAGUUGGCGGGGUAAAGGCCCACCAAGGCGACGAUCCGUAGCUGGUCUGAGAGGAUGAUCAGCCACACUGGAACUGAGACACGGUCCAGACUCCUACGGGAGGCAGCAGUGGGGAAUAUUGGACAAUGGGCGCAAGCCUGAUCCAGCCAUACCGCGUGGGUGAAGAAGGCCUUCGGGUUGUAAAGCCCUUUUGUUGGGAAAGAAAAGCAGCAGGUUAAUACCCCGCUGUUCUGACGGUACCCAAAGAAUAAGCACCGGCUAACUUCGUG
rnacentral:rRNA from 1 species